CGGGAUGUAGCGCAGUUUGGUUUAGCGCGCACGGUUCGGGUCCGUGAGGUCGCGGGUUCAAAUCCCGCCAUCCCGA
rnacentral:tRNA from 1 species